UGGUCUGGCCUCACUUCUUGUCAACAAAACAGAAGUCAAACAAUAUUUCUACCUUCCAAGAGAAUAGAACAUAAUGUCAGAUUUUCUCAUGGAUUUCCACUAGUUCAAGGAAGUUUCAUGGCCUUCAUUUAUUUCUUCUGCAGAGGUCUCAGGAUCACCUAGAAAUAUAAGAUACUUCGUUGGAAUUUGGAAGAUACCUCCUGCUCCAAAACUACUUCAAAGAUGUGCUCUUUUUCCCUGGGAACAGAGCCCCAGAUCAAGGCAUCUGGCGUGGGAAGCAUAAUGGAAACGUGGGACAUGGAGAAAGACGCACACAGACACAGGGAAGACGCCACGUAGACAUAAAGGCAAUGGUGUGGGAGAGGCAUCUACGGGUCAAGGAAUGUCAAAAUGUGUCAGCAAGAUGACAUUCCACCAGACGCUGAAGAGAAGCAUGAACAGAUUCCCCACAGCCCUCGGAAAGACCCAGCCUGCUGGUAUCUUAACCUCACACUUCUGGCCUCCAGAACUGAGGGACAAUAAAUUUCUGUUGUUUAAGCUUC